AGUAGGCGUUGCUAUAAUGCAGUCGACGCGUUGGCCCAACUGAUUGAACGUGCUUGCACGGACUUGACGUUGGUUUACCAGCGAGUGGCGGACGGGUGAGUAACACGUAGGUAACCUGCCCCAAAGCGUGGGAUAACAUUUGGAAACAGAUGCUAAUACCGCAUAACAAUUUGAAUCGCAUGAUUCAAAUUUAAAAGAUGGCUUUGGCUAUCACUUUGGGAUGGACCUGCGGCGCAUUAGCUCGUUGGUAGGGUAACGGCCUACCAAGGCUGUGAUGCGUAGCCGAGUUGAGAGACUGAUCGGCCACAAUGGAACUGAGACACGGUCCAUACUCCUACGGGAGGCAGCAGUAGGGAAUCUUCCACAAUGGGCGCAAGCCUGAUGGAGCAACACCGCGUGAGUGAAGAAGGGUUUCGGCUCGUAAAGCUCUGUUGUUAGAGAAGAACGUGCGUGAGAGCAACUGUUCACGCAGUGACGGUAUCUAACCAGAAAGUCACGGCUAACUACGUGCCAGCAGCCGCGGUAAUACGUAGGUGGCAAGCGUUAUCCGGAUUUAUUGGGCGUAAAGCGAGCGCAGGCGGUUUGAUAAGUCUGAUGUGAAAGCCUUUGGCUUAACCAAAGAAGUGCAUCGGAAACUGUCAGACUUGAGUGCAGAAGAGGACAGUGGAACUCCAUGUGUAGCGGUGGAAUGCGUAGAUAUAUGGAAGAACACCAGUGGCGAAGGCGGCUGUCUGGUCUGCAACUGACGCUGAGGCUCGAAAGCAUGGGUAGCGAACAGGAUUAGAUACCCUGGUAGUCCAUGCCGUAAACGAUGAGUGCUAGGUGUUGGAGGGUUUCCGCCCUUCAGUGCCGCAGCUAACGCAUUAAGCACUCCGCCUGGGGAGUACGACCGCAAGGUUGAAACUCAAAGGAAUUGACGGGGGCCCGCACAAGCGGUGGAGCAUGUGGUUUAAUUCGAAGCUACGCGAAGAACCUUACCAGGUCUUGACAUCUUGCGCCAACCCUAGAGAUAGGGCGUUUCCUUCGGGAACGCA
rnacentral:rRNA from 1 species